rnacentral:rRNA from 1 species
UACGUAGGGGGCAAGCGUUGUCCGGAUUUAUUGGGCGUAAAGAGCGUGUAGGCGGCCUGGAAGGUCAGCUGUGAAAACUCGAGGCUCAACCUCGAGACGUCGGUUGAAACCACCUGGCUAGAGUCCGGAAGAGGAGAGUGGAAUUCCCGGUGUAGCAGUGAAAUGCGCAGAUAUCGGGAAGAACACCCGUGGCGAAGGCGGCUCUCUGGGACGGUACUGACGCUGAGACGCGAAAGCGUGGGGAGCGAACAGG